rnacentral:rRNA from 1 species
CCUACGGGUGGCAGCAGUGGGGAAUAUUGCACAAUGGGCGCAAGUCUGAUGCAGCCACGCCGCGUGAAGGAAGAAGGGUUUAGGCUCGUAAACUUCUAUCAACAGGGACGAAAGAACUGACGGUACCUGAUUACGAAGCCCCGGCUAACUACGUGCCAGCAGCCACGGUAAUACGUCGGGGGCAAGCGUUAUCCGGAAUUACUGGGUGUAAAGGGUGAGUAGGCGGCAUGGUAAGCCAGAUGUGAAAGCCCUAGGCGUAACCCGUGAAUUGCAUUUGGAACUUUCAAGCUAGAGAACAGGAGAGGAAGGCGGAAUUCCUAGUGUAGCGGUGAAAUGCUUAGAGAUCAGGAAGAACACCAGUGGCGAAGGCAGCUUUCUGGACUGAAACUGACGCUGAGGCACGAAAGCGUGGGGAGCGAACAGGAUUAGAUACCCGUGUAGUC